rnacentral:rRNA from 1 species
GUCACACUGGGACUGAGACACGGCCCAGACUCCUACGGGAGGCAGCAGUGGGGAAUAUUGCACAAUGGGCGCAAGCCUGAUGCAGCGACGCCGCGUGGGGGAUGACGGCCUUCGGGUUGUAAACUCCUUUCGUUAGGGACGAAGCCACACCUUUUUUUGGGUGUGGUGACGGUACCUUUGUUAAGAAGCACCGGCUAACUACGUGCCAGCAGCCGCGGUAAUACGUAGGGUGCGAGCGUUGUCCGGAAUUACUGGGCGUAAAGAGCUCGUAGGUGGUUUGUUGCGUCGUCUGUGAAAUUCCGGGGCUUAACUUCGGGGUGGCAGGCGAUACGGGCAUAACUAGAGUGCUGUAGGGGAGACUGGAAUUCCUGGUGUAGCGGUGGAAUGCGCAGAUAUCAGGAGGAACACCGAUGGCGAAGGCAGGUCUCUGGGCAGUAACUGACGCUGAGGAGCGAAAGCAUGGGGAGCGAACAGG